AGUUCUUAAAGGCAUGUCAAUUCUUGGAAAUGUCAUUCUAUUUUCUAGGUACAAACCAUCCUGUGUGCAUUUUUCACAUCCGUGAUAGCCUGUGUGACCUUUAACAUUUUUCAGGAAUGCACGGGCAGGUGCAUCGCAGACCAUCGAAGAGAGUAGUAAAGUUAACAUCACUCCUUCAAAUUCAAAUCCUUUGGCUAAUUCAUUUACUUUAGAGAUGAAUUCUUGAAGUGUCCCUAGGAUGGGCCAGAACUGUGUUGCGGAGCUCUUAUAGAGGGGCAAACCAUCAAUGCUGACCUGAAGCUCCAGCGUGUGAAUGUUGCGCAGAAUGUCAACAUUCUGAUGUAGCACCUCUGCAAUUGAAUUCAGCACUCCAAAAUGCUGUGGAAACCUGACCUGGUGAGGACCCUCUCCUCCAUCCUCAACCAUUGAACCUCUUAUCACACUCGGACGAGGACAAACCAGCCUGUGAUCUAGACUCCUAGAUCCAACCCUGGUCCACGAUCAUUCCCACACCUGUGUCUCAUCACAGUCCAUCACCUGUGUCUGCACCCUGCCUACUGCUAAUAUUAUGGAUUUCUGUUCUGGAGAGAUAUGCCAUUCACAACAAUCUCUACACAAUAUCAAACUCAAAUAAUUUAGUCCUGCCUAACAGUUUUCCUGAUUUGUUACUGUUCACAAUGUAGCACAGUCUCGCCUACCUUUGUGCAUUCAGUUGUUAAAAUAUGUCCUUAAUAUCAGAUUGUCUCCCAAGUUUAUUAUUUAAAAGCAA